GCGGUUAAAUAAAUAGAGAAACACACACAAUGACAUCAAGGCUCUAAAACCAAAGUAAAUUCCAUAAUAACCGUAAAUAAUGAUGUAUUGGAGAGUGAUAUCGCCGCAGUAUUAAAUACAAAGGAACUGGAAGCACCACGUAUACACAUUUUUUCAACUGAAAGUGAACUUCAAGGAAUAUUUAUUGCUUUUGAUUCCGUGUUUUCGUCAAUAGCAAAAGCGGGAGGUGUAAUGGCUGCGGUAUUAAAAUUAUUGGCAACAUAUUAUAUGUUUGAUUUAGAGUAUCCAAAACCCUUUUCGAUGGUACUGGGGAUAAUGCAAACCUUUGUAAUGGAGGAGCCGUACAAAAAGGAAACCAGUAAAAAAUAUAAAACAUUUAUAAAAUCACUGAGAAGUAUAUAUAACAAAUACCCAAAUUAUCAAGAGUAACAUGUAUACAUGUAUAUGUAUUAUUAAAUACAUUUAUCUAUA